GGCCGGUUAGCUCAGUUGGUUAGAGCGUGGUGCUAAUAUCCCUAGAUAUUGUUCGUAAUACGCCAAGGUCAAGGGUUCGACCCCCUUACGGGCCA